AUUGAACGCUGGCGGCAUGCCUUACACAUGCAAGUCGAACGGCAGCACGGGAGCAAUCCUGGUGGCGAGUGGCGAACGGGUGAGUAAAGUAUCGGAACGUGCCCAGUCGUGGGGGAUAACGUAGCGAAAGUUACGCUAAUACCGCAUACGAUCUAUGGAUGAAAGCGGGGGAUUGCAAGACCUCGCGCGAUUGGAGCGGCCGCUAUCAGAUUAGGUAGUUGGUGGGGUAAAGGCUCACCAAGCCGACGAUCUGUAGCUGGUCUGAGAGGACGAUCAGCCACACUGUGACUGAGACACGGCGCAGACUCUUACGGGAGGCAGAAGUGGGGAAUUUUGGACAAGGGGCGAAAGCCUGAUCCAGCGAUGCCGCGUGCAGGAUGAAGGCAUUCGGGUUGUAAACUGCUUUUGGACGGAAAGAAAAGGUUUGGCCUAAUAAGCUGAGCUCAUGACGGUACCGUAAGAAUAAGCACCGGCUAACUACGUGCCAGCCGCCGCAGUAA
rnacentral:rRNA from 1 species